AGAAUUCUUCGGAAGGAAGUUGAUUAAGUUUAGUGGCGGACGGGUGAGUAACGCGUGAGUAACCUGCCUUUGAGAGGGGAAUAACUUCCCGAAAGGGAUGCUAAUACCGCAUGAUGCAUAGAAGUCGCAUGGCUUUUAUGCCAAAGAUUUAUCGCUCAAAGAUGGACUCGCGUCCGAUUAGCCAGUUGGCGGGGUAACGGCCCACCAAAGCGACGAUCGGUAGCCGGACUGAGAGGUUGAACGGCCACAUUGGGACUGAGACACGGCCCAGACUCCUACGGGAGGCAGCAGUGGGGGAUAUUGCGCAAUGGGGGAAACCCUGACGCAGCAACGCCGCGUGAAGGAUGAAGGUUUUCGGAUUGUAAACUUCUUUUAUUUAGGACGAAGAAUGACGGUACUAAAUGAAUAAGCUCCGGCUAACUACGUGCCAGCAGCCGCGGUAAUACGUAGGGAGCAAGCGUUAUCCGGAUUUACUGGGUGUAAAGGGUGCGUAGGCGGCUUGGUAAGUCAGAUGUGAAAUGUAUGGGCUCAACCCAUGCACUGCAUUUGAAACUAUUGAGCUUGAGUGAAGUAGAGGUAGGCGGAAUUCCCUGUGUAGCGGUGAAAUGCGUAGAGAUAGGGAGGAACACCAGUGGCGAAGGCGGCC
rnacentral:rRNA from 1 species